CCUACGGGAGGCAGCAGUGAGGAAUAUUGGUCAAUGGCCGUAAGGCUGAAGCAGCAACGCCGCGUGAAGGAAGAAGGAUCUAUGGUUUGUAAACUUCUUUUAUAGGGGAAUAAAGGUAUCCAAGUGUGGAUAUUUGCAUGUACCCUAUGAAUAAGCAUAGGCUAACCCCGUGCCAGCAGCCGCGGUAAUCCGGAGGAUGCGAGCGUUAUCCGGAUUGAUUGGGUUUAAAGGGUGCGUAGGGUGUUUUUUAAGUCAGCGGUGAAAGUUUGUGGCUCAACCAUAGAAUGGCCGUUGAAACUGGAAGACUUGAGUGUGUUUGAGGUAGGCGGAAUGCGUGGUGUAGCGGUGAAAUGCGUAGAUAUCACGAAGAACUCCGAUUGCGAAGGCAGCUUACUAGGCCAUAACUGACGCUGAAGCACGAAAGCGUGGGGAUCAAACAGGAUUAGAUACCCCAGUAGUC
rnacentral:rRNA from 1 species